rnacentral:rRNA from 1 species
AGAGAAAGCUGGCGGCAGGCCUAACACAUGCAAGUCGAACGAACUCUUCGGAGUUAGUGGCGGACGGGUGAGUAACACGUGGGAACGUGCCUUUUGGUUCGGAAUAACUCAGGGAAACUUGUGCUAAUACCGAAUGUGCCCUUCGGGGGAAAGAUUUAUCGCCAUUAGAGCGGCCCGCGUCUGAUUAGCUAGUUGGUGAGGUAACGGCUCACCAAGGCGACGAUCAGUAGCUGGUCUGAGAGGAUGACCAGCCACACUGGGACUGAGACACGGCCCAGACUCCUACGGGAGGCAGCAGUGGGGAAUCUUGCGCAAUGGGCGAAAGCCUGACGCAGCCAUGCCGCGUGAAUGAUGAAGGUCUUAGGAUUGUAAAAUUCUUUCACCGGGGACGAUAAUGACGGUACCCGGAGAAGAAGCCCCGGCUAACUUCGUG